rnacentral:rRNA from 1 species
UCUACGGGCGGCAGCAGUGGGGAAUAUUGCACAAUGGAGGAAACUCUGAUGCAGCGACGCCGCGUGAGUGAAGAAGGUCUUCGGAUCGUAAAACUCUGUCCUUGGUGACGAAAAAAUGACGGUAGCCAAGGAGGAAGCCCCGGCUAACUACGUGCCAGCAGCCGCGGUAAUACGUAGGGGGCGAGCGUUGUCCGGAUUUACUGGGCGUAAAGGGUGAGUAGGCGGUAAUAUGUGUCAGAUGUAAAAGGCUAUGGCUUAACCAUAGUUAGCAUUUGAAACUGUAUUACUUGAGUGCAGGAGAGGUAAGUGGAAUUCCUAGUGUAGCGGUGAAAUGCGUAGAUAUUAGGAGGAACACCAGUGGCGAAGGCGACUUACUGGACUGUAACUGACGCUGAGUCACGAAAGCGUGGGUAGCAAACAGGAUUAGAUACCCUGGUAGUCCACGCUGUAAACGAUGAGUGCUAGGUGUUGGGUAGCGAUAUUCAGUGCCGAAGUAAACACAAUAAGCACUCCGCCUGGGGAGUACGGUCGCAAGACUGAAACUCAAAGGAAUUGACGG